rnacentral:rRNA from 1 species
ACUCCUACGGGAGGCAGCAGUGGGGAAUCUUGCGCAAUGGGCGAAAGCCUGACGCAGCCAUGCCGCGUGAAUGAUGAAGGUCUUAGGAUUGUAAAAUUCUUUCACCGGGGACGAUAAUGACGGUACCCGGAGAAGAAGCCCCGGCUAACUUCGUGCCAGCAGCCGCGGUAAUACGAAGGGGGCUAGCGUUGCUCGGAAUUACUGGGCGUAAAGGGAGCGUAGGCGGACAUUUAAGUCAGGGGUGAAAUCCCGGGGCUCAACCUCGGAAUUGCCUUUGAUACUGGGUGUCUUGAGUAUGAGAGAGGUGUGUGGAACUCCGAGUGUAGAGGUGAAAUUCGUAGAUAUUCGGAAGAACACCAGUGGCGAAGGCGACACACUGGCUCAUUACUGACGCUGAGGCUCGAAAGCGUGGGGAGCAAACAGGAUUAGAAACCCUGGUAGUCCCAUGA